UUGCCUACGGGGGGCAGCAGUGGGGGAUAUUGCACAAUGGGGGGAACCCUGAUGCAGCGACGCCGCGUGGGUGAAGGAGCGUUUCGGCGCGUAAAGCCCUAUCGGCAGGGAAGAAGAUGACGGUACCUGACCAAGAAGCCCCGGCUAACUACGUGCCAGCAGCCGCGGUAAUACGUAGGUGGCAAGCGUUGUCCGGAUUUACUGGGUGUAAAGGGCGUGUAGCCGGGCUGACAAGUCAGAUGUGAAAUCCGGGGGCUCAACCCCCGAACUGCAUUUGAAACUGUUGGUCUUGAGUAUCGGAGAGG
rnacentral:rRNA from 1 species